rnacentral:piRNA from 1 species
UCAAGGCUAUGUCAGUAAUUUAUGGCUGU